GACGAACGCUGGCGGCGUGCUUAACACAUGCAAGUCGAGCGGUAAGGCCCUUUCGGGGGUACACGAGCGGCGAACGGGUGAGUAACACGUGGGUGACCUGCCCUCAGCUCUGGGAUAAGCCUGGGAAACCGGGUCUAAUACCGGAUAUGACUCCAUGACGCAUGUUGUGGGGUGGAAAGCCUUGUGCGGCUGAGGAUGGGCCCGCGGCCUAUCAGCUUGUUGGUGGGGUGAUGGGCCUACCAAGGCGACGACGGGUAGCCGGCCUGAGAGGGCGACCGGCCACACUGGGACUGAGACACGGCCCAGACUCCUACGGGAGGCAGCAGUGGGGAAUCUUGCGCAAGUGGCGAAAGCCUGACGCAGCGACGCCG
rnacentral:rRNA from 1 species